rnacentral:rRNA from 1 species
UACAGAGGUCUCAAGCGUUGUUCGGAUUCAUUGGGCGUAAAGGGUGCGUAGGUGGCGUCGUAAGUCAGGUGUGAAAUUCCGGAGCUCAACUCCGGAUGUGCAUAGGAUACUGGAAGGCUAGAGACUGGUAGAGGCGAGCGGAAUUCCUGGUGUAGCGGUGGAAUGCGUAGAUAUCAGGAAGAACACCGGUGGCGAAGGCGGCUCGCUGGGCCAGUUCUGACACUCAUCCGCGAAAGCGUGGGGAGCAAACAGG